GAUCUUUAUUUUUGUUAAUUAUAAAUUAAAAAGAAUAUUUAAAUUUAUAUUUUAAUAAAAAAUUUUACUGGGGUGGUAUUAAAAUUUAAAUAACUUUUAUUGUUUAUUUACAUUAAUAUAUGAAUAAUUGAUCCAAUUUUAUUGAUUAAAAAAUUAAGUUACCUUAGGGAUAACAGCGUAAUUUUUUUUUAGAGUUCAUAUCGACAAAAAAGAUUGC
rnacentral:rRNA from 1 species